CUUGCGGCCAUAUCACGUUGAAAAACCGAUCCCUGUAUGAUCAACGGAGUUAAGAAACGUCAAGCCUGGCCAGUACCUAGACGAGUGACCACUUGGGAAUACCAGGCGCUGUAAG